GAUGAACGCUAGCGGCAGGCCUAACACAUGCAAGUCGAGGGGGAAGUUACUAUCGGGUGACUGAGACCGGCGUACGGGUGCGUAACGCGUAUACAAUCUGCCUUUCACUGGGGGAUAGCCCGAAGAAAUUUGGAUUAAUACCCCAUAGUAUAUAGGGACGGCAUCGUUUUUAUAUUAAAGCUUAGGUGGUGAAAGAUGAGUAUGCGUUCUAUUAGCUAGUUGGAGAGGUAACGGCUCCCCAAGGCGAUGAUAGAUAGGGGUUCUGAGAGGGAUGUCCCCCACACUGGUACUGAGAUACGGACCAGACUCCUACGGGAGGCAGCAGUGAGGAAUAUUGGACAAUGGUCGGAAGACUGAUCCAGCCAUGCCGCGUGCAGGAUGAAGGUCUUAUGGAUUGUAAACUGCUUUUGUAAGGGAAGAAUAAGGGCUACGCGUAGUUUGAUGACGGUACCUUACGAAUAAGCAUCGGCUAACUCCGUG
rnacentral:rRNA from 1 species